rnacentral:rRNA from 1 species
AUAUGAAGGUCCCAAGCGUUAUUCGGAAUCACUGGGCGUAAAGAGUACGUAGGCGGUUUGGUAAGUCAGGUGUGAAAUCCCGAAGCUCAACUUCGGAACUGCAUCCGAUACUGCCAGACUAGAGUAAUGGAGAGGCAGGUGGAAUUCUCGGUGUAGCAGUGAAAUGCGUGGAUAUCGAGAGGAAGACCAAUGGCGAAGGUAGCCUGCUGGACAUUUACUGACGCUGAGGUACGAAGGCUAGGGGAGCGAAAGGGAUUAGAUACCCUGGUAGUCC